UGUCUUUCCCCUAUUGGCUAGGGUUAGACUGCACAGGCUAAACUAAUUCCGAUUGGCUAAAGAGAGCAAGGAGAUUUCUAAGCUGUGGAACAAUUUCCCCUCUACUCUUGAAAAAAUUAGGAUCUUUCUAGUAUCAACUUACUGGUUUUAUGCUAACUCAGAUAAAGAAUUCUGCUGUGAUUUUAGAAAUGACUCAGCCUGCCUGCACCCAGGUGAAAUAAACAGCCAUGUAGCUCACACAAAGCCUGUUUGGUGGUCUCUUCACAUGGAUGCGCAUGAAAUUUGGUGCCGUGACUCGGAUCGGGGGACCUCCCUUGGGAGAUCAAUCCCCUGUCCUCCUGUUCUUUGCUCCAUGAGAAAGAUCCACCUAUGACUUCAGGUCCUCAGACUGACCAGCCCAAGGAACAUCUCACCAAUUUUAAAUCAGAUCUUCUCGGCUUAGCGGCUGAAGACUGACACUGCCCGAUCGCCUCGGAAGCCCCCUAGACCAUCACGGACGCCGAGCUUCAGGUAACUCUCACAGUGGAAGAACUGCAGGAUUCUCCAGGCUCAUCUUGUAUAUUUCAUGGCUCAGGUGCUGAAUCACGAUUUUCUCCAUGGAGCACUUGUACCUUGUAUUGGAGAAUAACAUCAGAAAUCAAGAUUUAGAUGUGUUCUCAAUUUCUUUAAAGUGUUUUCAGUUUUAAGUCAGAGCUUAAAUACUGAGUACACAUGGACACAAAGAAGGGAACAACAGACACAGAGGCCUGCUUGAGGGUGAAGAGCGAGAGGAGGAUGAGGAUCGAAAAACUACCUAUUGGGCACUAUGCUUAUUACUGGGUGACAAAAUAAUUUGUACACCAAACCCCCGCGACAUGGAAUUUACCUGUACAGCAAACCUUCCCAUGUAUUCCCAAACCUAAAAUAAAUGUUAAACAAAAAUCUGGAUGCUAGGUGUGCUAUUGUUACAAGAAAGUCAAUGUUUCUAG